ACUUACUCUAGCUAGCUAGAGGAGAUAUUGCCACUCUCCGCCCAGUGGAGAAACCCACUGGGUGUUGUUCACAAACGCUGCUUCCAGAACAUAAAAGUGUAUGUACAUAGACCAAGCAUCUGGAUGGAAAGCAAGGAAUAUGGUCAGCAAAGUUCUGCCAUCUGAAUUUUCCUUUUCAUUCAGAUGUUGUCAUGACUAGGUCUUAGCACCUAAAACACUUCAUCUAAUCACGCACCUAUUUCUCUACCAUCUCUGUGCCUUUCUGCCUGUCUUAGCAUGGUGCUAGCUGCACUUCCAAGGCCCAUUGAAAGGAUCACUGAGCACAAAAACUUGCCAGAGUCUAGUUUUUAGGUCACAAUAGUUGACCCUGGUGUCUACAGAUGCGUUUCAGCAAAGCCAUUAAACUAUUGAAAUUUGAUGAAACUUGCAAUUAUAUUUAUAUGCUAUGUAAUUCUCCUUAGAGAGAGUCUGUGGCUCUGGAUACAUUCUAAAGAGAUCUGUGACCUGAAAGAGGUUGAGAAGUUAUAAAGAAACAUGUGAAUUAAAAUGGAAGAAAGGGACAAUUGGAAGCAUAUCUGAGGUUCAUCUAAGAAAAAUGAAAAUUUAUGUCCAUACAAAGAUGAGUAGAUAAAUGUAAUAGCCAAAACAUGGAAAAAACAUGCCCAUCAAAGGAAGGUAGACAAAUUACGAUAUAUUCACACAGACUUCUCAGGAACGAAGAGAAACAAACUACUGACACACUGACAUAGAUGAAUCUCACAGACUGCUGGUCAAAAGAAGCAUAUGAAGCUCAAGAACAGGCAAAACUAAUAUGGGGUAAAAAUAAUUAGAACAGUGAUUGCCUUGUGAGAUUGAGGGAUUGAGUAGAAAGGAAUAGGAGAAAACUUUCUAUAAAGAAUGUAAAUGUUCCAAAUUGUGAGGAGUUUAAGUUACACAGGUAUAUGUGCGUGUCAAAAUUUUAUGGCUAAGGUUUGCAUAUAUAUACAUUUUACCUAAAGUAAAAAAAAAACUGUAAUAAUGAUAAUAAAAAUAACCCAUUGAGUGAAGAGAUGGGGGUGGGAGAAGGUAUAGAUGGAACAAGAGAGGCAAAAUGUUAAUUGUUGAAGAUGAGUGAUGGAUAUAUAAGGAUUUAUUAUACAAUUUUGUUUGAUUUCUCUAGUGAUAGGAUUGGGAUGUGCGUUCCCUCUAAAUCUCAUAUUGAAAUGUAUCCCUAGUGUUGGAGAUGGGACCUGGUGGGAGGUGUUUAGGUCAUGGGGGCAGAUCUCUCAUGAAUAGCUUGUUUCCCUCCCUGCAGUAAUGAGUGAGUUCUUGCUCUGAGUUCAUGCAAGCUCUAGUUGUUUCAAAGAGCCUAGGACCUCCUUGCAACCUGAAUCUUGCUCCUGCUCUUGCCAUGUGAUGUGCUUGCUCCCACUUUGCCUUCUGCCAUGAUUGGAAGCUUCCUGAGGCUUCACCAGAAGCUGAACAGAUGCUGGUACCAUACUUCCUGUAAAGCCUGUAGAACCAUGAGCCAAAUAAACCUAUUUUCUUUAUAAAUUACCAGUCUCAGGUAUUCCUUUACAGCAAAACAAAAACAGGUGAACACACUGAUAUCAUUUGGAUCUGUGUCCCCACCCAAAUCUCAUGUCCAAUUGUAAUCCCCACUGUUGGAGGUGGGGUCUGGUGAGAGGUGAUUGGCUCACUGGGGUGGAGUUCUCAUGAAGGGUUUAGCACCAUCCCCGUUGGCACUGUAUAGUGAAUGAGUUCUCAUGAGAUCUGGUUCUUUA
rnacentral:lncRNA from 1 species